GGUGGGCAUCGCGGUGGCCCCGAGGACACGCUCCCUCCGACGUGCGCCCCGGGGUCGUGCUGGGACCCACCGGCGGUCGUGGGCACCGGCGCCCGGGCGCGCGCGCGCGCGCGGUGACCUCGCGGGGUGGCCCGCUGCGCGCGUCUGCCGAGAGCGGACCCUGAGCGCGCGCCCUCCCCCACCCCGGAGGACCGCUCGGUAGUGACCGGAGGGAACGGUCAGGGCCCCCGGGGUCCUUCUGCUCCAACAGGGUCCAUGAGAGAGGAAGUGGGAUGUAAGGACCUGGUCCUCACUCUGCCAUCAUCCCCUUGGCAUCGCUGGUCCACUAUGGUGGCUUCCUGCACCCUUCUCCCCAUACCCACAAGGGAGACCCACAGGAUUCGAGCUUCUGUCUGUGUUUUGCUUGUGCCUGGACCUGGCGAAACCUCCAUGGUGAUCGAUCCCCACUCUGCGUGGAUGGGACAGCCGUCCUCAACAUUCUUCCUUGGACAUGCUCACCGAUGGUACUUACACAAGCCCCUCAUGCCCACAGGCGACCCAGGUAUCCACAGAAUUCAGAA